AAUCAAGUGCCUUAAGGGUGUUCGGUGGAUGCCUUGGCGCUGAG
rnacentral:rRNA from 1 species